GCGCGCUUCCUGUAAACAUCAGUAACUUUCACCUCAUUGUCUUCCAGUUUUUACCGACUCAACUUAAUUUUUCGCACAGGGAUACAUUUUUAAUUUUACAAGUGGCAUUCUCAUCAACAUCCUGGAGUUACCAUUGACCAGAAACUUAACUGGACCAACCAUAUAAAUACAGUGGGUACAAGAGCAGGUCAGAUGUUGAGAAUUCUGCAAUGGCAAACAGUAUGAACUUGGAAUAUGACUGAAUGUCAGAAAAUCAUUCACAGUUCAGUGGAGGCGCCAAGGCUUUAGCAUGGCUUUAGUUUCAGAAAGCACCAUGUAACUAAAAUAUAAAACAAAGAGGAAUACAACUGCA